GUCCGCACCGGGGCGCCCUGCGCACACCCUUACCGCCCGGCGGCGUCCGCCGACCCCGGAGUCCUGGCCCGGGGCGCGGGAGUCCGGAGGGCAGGACCGGGACGCUCGCGCUGGCCUCCCGUGCGGUGGCGUGCGUGAGCGUCCCUUCCACUUCGGCAGCCCGCACCGCCUCCGUAGCCUCCCAGGUCUGGCCUCCUGCCCCCCUCCGAGCCCCACCGCGCGCCGACCCGGAUCCCGGGCGCCUCACGGCGCGGCUGCCAGCUGGGCCUGGCGCCGAGGCUCGGGCCCCCAAGUUGUGGGAGGACGCCGGGCCUGUUGACACUUCCCUCGGACUCGGGGGAAGACUGUUACCAGAGGAGCCUCCUUCGGCACGAGCCUCGUCGCUGCCGCCUCGGGAAGGGAGGAGAGCGCAGCCGACCGGUGGCCUGACGCGGUCGCAUCACAGGUGUCUCAGUGGCCGCGCGCUUGGAGCAGGUCACAGACGUGCGCGCGGCGGCGAUCCGGGCUUCCCUGCGAGGCCGAGGCCCAGGCCGGCGGCCCGGUGCGUGGCGGGCGGCGAGGGGGCGCUGUGGCCCGCGACUGCGGCCUGCUGGGCUCCGCGCAGGGCAGGGCUCGCGUGGGAGAAGGAAGACACCGCGAGCGCUUCGGACCCGGCCGCUCCCACCGCUUCUGUUACUCUGGCCUUCCUUGGAGUGUGAGUUCGGUGAAAACAGAGCCACCAUCGUGGGCGGGUAGUUUUGCGGGCAGUUCAGGCUAAGUAAGCACAUUUCGCCUCGGCUCCCUUCAGUGAGGGAACGUGUAACCCGCGUGGCACUUCCCUCCGCCGCCGAGCCUCCUUCCCGGACUGCGGGCCCGCGUGGGCGUGGGGGAACGGCAAGAGGAGGGGGCGUGGCUUUGCAGUUUGCUUUUUCUUAAAACUGAAACUCCUCGUUACACAUCGUGCGAAAUCUGUCCGGCUGCAGCGUGUUCGCGACCCCCUCCUUCGAGGGCCAGCGGGCUGCACUUCGGGAUGGGAGCCAGCGGCCCCUGGGGAGGCGCGCCGUAUGGGUGCGUGGCGCCUGGACCCCUCCGCCCGAGGCAGCUCUCUUGGCAGCCCUGCCACGUGCAGCUGACCAUCUUCAGCCGCUGCGAGGGCUGCUCCUUGCGAACCUGCCGCUCCCGGUGUCCUCCUCCGCCUGGCGGACUCGGGCCUGUCCUCCUCCUCCACCUCCCUCAGCCCUGCGCCCCUCGGCGAUGACCUCGGGCGGGCUCUCCCGGCGGGUGCGGGCACCCUGGGCUGCAGAGCCGACCUUGCUUGGACGUGGACGGGCUGGAGUUCCUCUGAAGGAUCUGCAUUCCGGGAGACACUUUUAGGAACAGGAAGCCCGGCCCGGUUCUGGGCAGGCGGUAUCUGAGGACAACACCUUUGCCCUGCAGUGGAGCAGGCCGGGCCCACGCCCCAGAGCUCCCAGGGUGCUCUGGGCGAGUGGAGUCGUCGGGAUUUGUUUUGUUUUGUAAAAAUAUUUCUGCAAGACAGACCCCGGGAGAACGCAGCUCUGCGUGCAGCAGCCCUCGUGCAUUCCUGCUUCCGGACGCCAGAGCGCACCUCAGUGCAGGCCAGUGCAGCGCCCUGCUGCGGCACCGCGGGCCAUCCCCGGAGCAGGAUAUUCGUUACAAGUCAAACCCUCAGCAGGGCAGACCGCAGCUGCGACUGACAGGAGAGUUCUGCAGAGGACGGGUAAGGACACUGUGCAGAAUCCGUUCAGUGUCAGCAGAGACCCUGGGCCUGGAGCAGGGUUCACUUGUGCUGGGGAGACCCCUGGCAGGAAAAGAACCUCACGCCGCCUGCACCAACCAACAGGGCCUAGGGGUGCUGAGCCUGCACCCCUGGCUGUGACAGUUCUGGUUGCUGUGGGGAAAUUAGGGAAGCAUCCCCUCCUCACCUGCUGCCCUCUGCAGCGAAGAGGCCACUGGGGAGGGGAGCCGGGUGCUGCUCCAGGGCAGCGUGGAGGCACCGUGCGCAGUGUGGGCAGGAGAGCGCCUUGUCCCGCCACCCCGUGGGUCUGUGGCCUGGAGCGGCCCCCAGAGCCCACAUCCACCCACGGAAGAGGUCCCAAGGGCGGAAGAUGGGGGAGGAGAACACAGAGAAGACGGCCCCAGGUGAGAUUUAAAAGGCAGUCUCAGCUCUGUUGCUCUGUUCCCGAGGUUGUUUGUGAAGUUCGGCCUCAUGUUAGCCUCUCUUGGCCUGGGAGGCCAGGUGCAUGGGACUGCAGCACUGUUCUUUCCUGUGAUAUUGUAGAGAUUAAAGUUAAGUACUGUCAGCCAGCUGUGUGGUGCCCCUGUGUAAUCCCAGCGCUCAGGAGGCUGAGGCAGGAGGAGUGCCGUGAGUUCAAUGCCAGGCUGAAGUAUGUAGUGAGACCCUGUCUCGAAAAAAAUAAUCAAGUACUAGCUUUUAAAAGAAGCAUUAUAAAUGCAGGAGUAUAAUAUGCUAGUUUGGGAAAACUUGGUUGAAGAUAUCACUUUCUUAAACAUUUGCGUUUGAUUUUUUUCUCUGCUCUCUCCAUUCCUCCGCCAUUGCAACCUCAGGCCCUGGCGGCUAAGGCCCUGGGGAUGCAGGGCUGGGAGUUGCACGCUUUCAUGCUGCCACGCUGCACGUGCUUCUCCAUGUCACUGUGAACGCACUUUGGGUGAGCAUAUUGUAGAAGUCAGCCAUGGAUUAAAGCCAGGACUGCAGAAAGGCAGGAGGACAGGGAAGGGCCAGGGAGGCAGGGAGAAGACCUGGUCAGGCGGCUCUGCUGGGCCCUGGCCCGGGCCCUUCCCCCUCUGCGUCUCUGCUCCGGCAGACCGGGUGCAGUGUUCUGGGCCCCUCCACCCGCGCUGCCUUCCCUGCAGCCCCAGAACGGGAUCUCCACACACUGCCCGGCUCACCACCCCUGCACAGUGGACGAGGUCUUGGCCUGGCUCACUUGGGAAUCGCCAGACCUCCCCGUGUUCACUCCACUCCGACCUGUUCACUGGAGGCCGGGACGGAGCAGAGGGCUGGCGCCUGCUGCACCCCGCUCCCCUGCGCUGGGCACCCUGACCUCUCACCUCCUGCACACAGCAGGCCACCUCCCAGGCCAGCGCCCCCUCCUUGGAGGCUUCAACCUCAAGACUCUUGUGCUGCUGCCUCCUGGCUGCUGAGGCAGCCACUUCCAGGGACGCUGGCUCUCCCUUCCUGCCCCCCACCCUGCCCGGCACGCUUGGCACUGUGGGCAUAGGACAGGCACCGAGCAGAUGCAUGGACGCAUGUGUGACUGGCCCUUGGCAACUCACCUUUCUGCCAAAAGCGAUAGCAGGGCUUGUGGGUGAGAAACAACGAUGACGUGGACGCCUGCGUACAGUCCCCACUGCCUGCUGCUCCGGCGGCCUCCCCACACCUGGUCAUUGCUACGUUUCCAUCUGAUGUUUUCCGGAUGACCCCCACAGCCUCAGGACAUCUUCAGUGGGGCUGCAGGGAGGCGACUGCAUUGUGGGGGCUGAUGGCUGGCUUGCUGUUGGGAGGGGCCGUUGGAGGACACAGGUCACUGGGGGCGUGGCCCAGAAGGGUCUGCCUUCCUCCCUCAUCUCCCUGCUUCAUCUACACCCCUGCCACGAGCAGCUCUCCUCUGCCAGGCCCCUCUGGCCUGCACCCUGCCCUCGGAGCCAGCUGACUAUGGACUGAAGCCUCCACAGACUGGGAACCGACAUAAACCUCUCCUUAUAGUUGAGGCUGUCCAGUGUCGUGUUCUAGCAACAAAACAGGUGACUAAGACAGUCACGGCCACUGCAAGGAAGCCGGUCCAAGCACAUCACUCCUUGGCAGCCCCAAGUUUUAAGACCAACAGAUACAGACAUUUAAAAUCACAUUUAAUUCUAAAAUUCCCGCUUGGCAAUCCAAUCUUGGAGGACAGGAAUUGCCCCUGACCUUCCUGCCCCCAGCACAUGGCUGUGAACUGAGUGAAUGAUGAAGCUGCAUGUUGACAUUUGGGAAGAGGAAACUUAAGAGCAAACCGGACUUGGAGGAUAUUUUCAAUACAAAUUCAGAGCGGGCCUGUGUUAGAAACCAAUGUAAAAAAGUCAUGUAGGCCCCAGCAAGGUUUUCAUAGACUGCGUGAGCUUAUGCUUAAGUAAGCAUGCAAAAGCUAAGGCUUCAGAAGAGCUCAAAGAGCUUUUAAGCAGCAGAAGAGAGUGGGAGGACUCAGCCUACCUGACCCUGAGAUGAGUGGAUGUCAACAUGAGGAUCGGUUUGUGGUGGAGGGUGGACACAGGCCAGCAGAGCAGAGCGGACAACCCAGAGGGGCCUGUGCUCACGGGGGCCCCAUUAGUUAUUUCCUAGCUCUGGGUUUGAGCCCAGGGCGUCACACCUGCGAGGUCCGGCCUCCAUCACUGAGCCCGCCCCCAGCCCCAUUUGCUUUUGCGGGGGAGGGAUUCAGCCUUUUAGCAACUGGAGCUGGAGCAAAGGGGCAACACUAAGACAGCAAGUUUUACAAAAGAGUUUCUUCACACAGCCAGGCGUGGAGGAGGAGAGCCAGGCUCAGCCUCCUCCCAGAGGGCAGGGCUUAGGGACAUUCAUGGAAGGAGUAGGAUGGCCUAAGGCGUGGGGAGGCCAGGGGCACAGGGGAGGUUGGCGGUGGGCUGCACGGCUCCUCAGAGGACACACGUCUGGAUAACACGGCACUGACAGAGCAGAGGGUGCAGCUCUUGACCCCUGGGUGUUGAAGAAGUCAUCUGUGACCCUGCACAGCCCCAUGCUCAGAGCUGGGGCCCUGCCAAAGUAGCCGGGCAGCCCAGAUGCCCAUUGCCUACCCCCAGCUGGUCACCUGCAGAGGAGGUGGCUGGUCAGUGACACCAUGCGCAUCUUCCUGACCUCCAAAAUGCAAGACUUUCAAAGUCACCUAAAAGCAAGUAACAAUGCAAGUGUCCCUCAGUUUCAGACCUGCAGUUCCCUGCUUGACCGCCGGACCCUGCUCCUGAAGAGAGGAGUCGCUGGGUGCGGCCUCUCAAUGUCAGGCGUCUUUGCAGAGAGCCGCCCUCCCGGAGAGGUGCUCACGGGGGCCUGGACCUGGCCUACGUCCCUGCCGGUGAGCGGCACUGUGUGCAGGUGGACUGCGCUUCAUCACCCUUUGGCUGCUUUAGACUUGUGAGCUGUUCCCAGUGCUCGGGCUGUUUUGGAAAACAGACGAACACUGCUUUGACUUCUUAGUGCAGCCCUCUAUGACAACUUUUCAUUCAUCCUGGGUGAAACCCUAGGAGUGGAGCAG
rnacentral:lncRNA from 1 species